rnacentral:tRNA from 1 species
GCUGCUAUGGCUCAGUCGGUAGAGCGCGUCCUUGGUAAGGACGAGGUCAUGGGUUCAAAUCCCGUUAGCAGCUCCA